AGAACACCUGCACUUCACUGACUUUCUCUUCUCCUAGAGAUACAGGAUCAGUCUCAGGCCUAUUUUGGCACCAGGUUCCUUAGCUCAGCCUAAGCCAACCUGAUGCCCCCUAGCAGUUUUGGACUACAACUCCCAUCAACCCCAGCCAGCACCAAAGGGCAACAGCUCAAAGCUGUACUUCAUGCUGUGGCAAGAGAGAAAACACUGGAAGGUCUGCCUGAGUGAGAUGGAAGAACAGAGAUGAGCGCUUUGUAAUCUGAGAUUAGCGGAUAAAAGAGACUGGAGGAAAAACACAUUUCCUGUUUAAAAAAUCACCCACUUAGCGUUAAUGGAAGACAACCAACUGAGCUAGCAUGGAAACUGAGGUUAGAAACCAGGAUGCAUCAAAUGAAACGAAAGUACAUGUGUUGGCUCUCAACAACCUUCAGGAUAAAUCAAAGUCUGGAGUGAGCUCAGACAGACAACUACCCACUUAAAACAAACAAAAAAGAGCAUUCUGCAUCUUUGGAAUAGAAGCUGUGUAAGAUUGGCUGGAUCCCUGUGCUAUCACCAGGAAACCUCCCUGGAGUUCUCAGAGGGGAAAAGUUAACAAGGCGAUGGAUGAAGCUAUAAAUGAAUGAAUGCUCAUGCCGCGUUUCUUAAAUCAGGUGUAGGGAACGCAGGCCCAGGAGCCAAAUGGGGCCCUCCAGUCCCCUGUGCCCAGCUCUCAAGCCUCUCUCUGGACCACCACCCCCUAAGCUACCCCCUCACCAACGCUCCUCAAGUGCCUUUGCCUGGCUGAACUGUGAUAGUGCCUCCUGCUUGCCUGGGUGGAGAUUUGUGUGUGUGUUGAACCCUUCAACUUCCGCAUGGCUGGAAAGUACAAAGGGAAGAGUCACAUCCAUUGGAUCCUAUGGGCUCACCCACCGGGCUCACCCACCAACCCGGGGCAUGCAGCCCCUUGAAGCUUGCCACAAGGGAAUGGGGUCCUCAGCCUUUGUUUUAAAUAAUGAGAAAAGUCACAGCUCUUCUGAAAUGUGUUUUGGGGGGAAGGGAGGAGGUGGCUGCACAGUGUGCUGCUAUGCACAUUUAUCCUGCUAAUCUUUAAUGCUGCAUUGUACUUUUAUUGUUAUUUGCUUAGUACUGCUGAAUUUAUUUAUUUUUUUCUUCUUGCUUGUGAGCCUUUCUAAGAACUCUGCUAUAGAGUGGCCUAUAAAUACUAAAUAAUAAACAAAUAAAUAAAUGAAUGCUCUCAGCAAGAAGAGGGGCUCCUUCCCUGACUGGUCUCUAUUUCAUGAAAAAACAACAGCAGAGUAUUCUUUGUCU